rnacentral:snoRNA from 1 species
UGCUUGUGAUGAAAAGUCUAUUAUCUGCUACUACUGUGGAACCAAGGUUAUGACGUUUACUCACCAAGAUCUCUGAGGCU